AAUAAACUAAUUUUUCAGAUUUUACCUUCAAUUUUUGACUCUUCGUCUUAUUCAAAAAAUAUUUGCGAUUGAUAUUUUUGUUUUUAUUAGAUGAUAAAUCAUAAAUAGUAUUUUAUGUGUGACUAAUUUUUUUAAUUUCCUGAAAAUUUUUUAAAUAAGACGGAUGAUCAAACGUUAAACACGAAAAACGGAGGAUUCAUUUUCU
rnacentral:pre_miRNA from 1 species